rnacentral:misc_RNA from 1 species
AACGCACCUUGCGCUCUAUGGCAAUCCGUAGAGCAUGCCUGUUUGAGUGCCAUGAAAUCUCCCACCCCAAGCGGUUUUUAAAUGAAACGGCUUGGCGGAUGGGGUCUGGAUGGGUGCCUCUGCCUGCGCUACCUAGCACAGGCUCGCCCGAAAUGCAUGAGCGCCUUGAGACACUUUGCAUCCGCCUCUCUGUUUGGGAGGAGGCGGCCAAGCAGUGUUUUUUCUCCUGGCAUGGCAUGAUACGUCAUUUGCUAUGUCGCCUAAAGGAGGAAUGUUUGGUUGUGUCUGCGUGUGCUUCGAACUUGCCUCUGGCACAUCCCAAUUUCACUUCUGGUCUCAAAUCAGGUAGGAUCACCCGCUGAACUUAA